UGUCAAAUAGAUACAACUACUCCUAAUCACUCUCACUCUCCUUGUCAGACUUACCAUUCUCAUCACCCUCACUUUCCUUAUCAGACUUAUCAUUCUCAUCACUACUGGCCGGACAUGGAGGAAGAAUAUUUCCUGAUUCAAAAAGAAAAGUUAGUUGGGCCUGAAGCGCUGCAUACCUCUUGUUCUCUACCUCCUUUGCUGCCGCAAUCUGCUCCUCUCUCUUCCUCUCUUUUUCUUCUCUUUUCUUCUCUCUUUCGGCUACAGCAGCAAGCUCGACAUUGAGAUAAGCUAUCUUACUCUCUAUUGCAGAUAUUGUCUCUUUAUCCCCGCCAUCAAAGCUUAAGGAUGAUGAACCACAAUACCAAGACUUCUUCUUCUGAUACGCCUUUUCUGGAUAGCCGUAGAUUGAACCUUUAAUCGAUUUACCAGCACUCUGUUUCCAAAGUUUCUCAUUUUCUUCUUGUGUAAAUGGUCUGUCCUGACUCUCAAGAGGUAGAGUACUACGAUAUUCCUGAGAUAUUCGUAUAUACCUAUCUUAUAAUUUAAACAAAGAACUCUACGAAUAAGAAUGUAAUAUAUACAAGGAAAAGAAAAAAGAUUAGUUUGAAUGGAGUUCUUACAUAUGUCUCUUGAGCACGUGGCUCAAUCCAUCUUUCUUCUUCUGUGGGGUUCGUACUCUUUUUGACGUGAGUAACCUUGAACAUCUCUGCUACAGCUACCGGCCUACCCAACUCUUUUUCCUGCAAAUAACAUAUAUAGAAUAUGAUCUCAUUAAUCUCCAAAAAGUACUAAUCAAAAAAGAAAAAAAUAUUUUACUAAAUUAAGAAAGUAUACCAUUCUUUCCUUCCUAGUAACCUGGCUAAUAGCUCCACCAGUGUGCAAAGAUCCUCCCUUUUCUGAUGCGCGAGCCAUCUUCCCAAUCUCACUCCUCUUUUUAAAUUUUUCAUCAGUACUCCAAUGUUUCAAUAACAGAGCACAUCGAUCCGGUAACAUAAAGUUAGGCAUUCUAUUUUUUUUUCCGACAGUCACAAAAUGUGCUAGAAAGCAACUUUGAAGCUUUAAGCUUGAAGUUCACUUGAACGUCAUCCUCAUGGUCGGGAGCCCAUACAUAAUAUAUCUGUAAUAAAAAACAACUAAAUAUUUAUUGUUCAAAUGACUAGAGAAUUUAAAUGUAUAUGAUGUGAAUUUAAUUUAUAUAUAUUCUUACCUUAAAUUCGUUGAACAUCUGCCCUUGGGUGUUAAGUGGAAUCGAACUCCAAUUCAGAUACACAACAUUAUAGUGAGUUCCGAUGCACUUUAAAAUAAUCUUUGCCAUACCCACAUCCGGACGUAAGCUGAAAUACGAGUUCAUUGACAAAGUAGAGUAAACAAAAAAUAAAUCAAAUCAAUUAAAACAUAAAUAGAUAAAUGAAAGAUAAAAACAUAAUUAAAUCAUACUUGUAUCCUAAUGGCUCGAUGACGAGUCUACGAAAAUUGUCUCUAUCGACCUGGCUGAGGACCAUGUGCAUCUGAGUGCUGGGUGGUGGGAGUAUUAGGCUCCGAGCCAUUGGAUUCAAGAUGAAGAUUGGAAAAGUCCAAUUGAUCCACUACUAGUAUUCAAAGUAUUGCAAUGACUAGCACUAGAUCAUGGUAUGGUAGACCCACGACCAAGAUGUGAAUAGCCUUGCAAAGUUUGGUACCCCGAACUAGGUACCACAGUGGGUGUAGAUAUAGUAUAACCAGAUUGUGGAGCCACAUGAGUAGAGGCAUUAUGUGACUUGUGUGCCGAGUGAGUAGUUGAGACUGAGGCUCGUUUUGAAAUGUUAACUCGAGAGGGCUCAUCAGAUAUCACGACCCCAGUGGGCCUUCUCAUAGCAUUUUCCUUAAAUUUCUUUUUUGGAUUAGCGGAUUUUUUUUGAUUUACCCUUGUCUUUAUCUACCAUCUAUAUCAAUUAAAUAUAAAGAUUAAAACAAAGUAGUACAAAAUAAUAUCACAAUGUCGAACAAAUAUAUCAAACAAAGUUAUCAUAACAUAAGGCUUAAUUCAAAUAGUCUUUCACAAUGUCAAACAAAAGUUAAAACUACUAAAAUAUAAAGUAUACUCAAAUAUGAAUAGCUAAAAAUCCACUAACUAAACAUACAAAUUGUUAUUCAUCCUCUUCGGAAGUUUCUUCAUCAUCUAUCCAUUCACAUGCAUCAUCUUCGGAAGUUUCCUCCUCAUCUAUCCAUUCAUCCUCUUCGAAAGUUUCCUCCUCAUCCUCCUCCAUAUUUGUUGGCAUAUCUAACUCUUCUCUAUUAACUUCUUCUAAAAUGUGAUCAGGAUGCUCCAAAUUCAUUUCUAACUCAGCAUCCACUACUUGAUGAACACUUGAUAUUUCAUUUUGAUAUGCAACAUCCAAUUCAUUCUCAACAUCCACUCGCCCCAUCGAUUUUUUUUUAUUACAACCCACCAAUCAGACUUAUCCCUACGCAACGGAUAAAAAGCAUAGUACACUUGCUUAGCAUUCUGUGCAAUAAUAAAAGGAUCAUAAGCCUCAUACUUCCUAGUGUGCUUGACUUCAAUGAUAUUAUGCUGCUUAAGCUCCCUCGUACCUCUUGAAGUUGGAUCAAACCACUUGCAUUGGAAAAGUACUAUUCUUUUGAUUGGCCAACCCGAAUACUCCAACUCUACAAUCUCCUGUAGGACGCCAAAAUAAUCAACAUUCUCAUUUUGAUUUCCAUCAUCACCUUUAACCCAAACACCACUAUUAUUAGUUUUCUUAUUCUUUGAGUAUUUCUCUGUGGCAAAUUUAAAACCAUUUACGUUAUAUUGGGACAUUGUGUGAACUGUAAUCGGUCCCCAAGAAAUAUCCUUGAAAAAUUGAUCAAAUGUGGCGGCAUUUUCUGAAUUGUAGACCUAUAUAUGGUUAGUAAAUUAAAAGCAAUGUUAGUAGAAGGAAGAGUACACUAAUCUCUUAGUAGGUGUAUAUAUUACAACACUUACCCAAUUAGUAUACCAUGUUAUAAAUGAUGGAAACACUUGAUCAUCACCAUAUUGGCUCACAAAAUAACUGUAGAAUCACAUUGAAAAUACAGUUAGUUUCCUUAAUAAAAUCGGAGUUGAAUAUAUGUUGUUUACAUAUUUAAUUUUCUUACUCUAAGAAGGGUUGGACUUCUGGACAAUUCAACAAGACAUGAAGCUCUGCAGAUUUUUUCUCCUUUUCGGUAAGUUUGUGCAAUGUACGCUUUUUUGAACCCUUACCCGGUUGGUUGAAGAUUGAUAAUGAUUGCACUGCAAGAUCAUUCCCAAUAGCAUCAUGUCGAUUAGGUCUGUUACUCAAACACGACACAUAAUCAUCAAAGUAGUAAGAACAAAAGUGGGAUCUUUCUUUAACUAGAUAUACUUGAACCAUACAGCCCUCCACCCUAUGUUUAUUCUUAAUACCCCUUUUAGACUUGCCAAAGCUCCUGUAAAAUUUUAUAUUAGAUAUAUAAUUUCAAAAUAUAUAUGAACGAUUUAUGAAAUAAGAAUAAAUAUGUUAUAGUUACUUACCGCUCAAAAGGAUACAUCCACCUAUAUUGGACUGGACCUCCCUGUAGGGCUUCAUGAACAAGGUGAAUGGAAAGAUGUUCCAUCACAUCAAAGAACCCAGGUAGAAGAAUCUUCUCCAACUUAUUACUAAUAACAACGAUAUUUUUGGCCAUCCGAACCAGAUUCUCUACUCUCAAUGUGCUGGAACACAAGUCUUUGAAGAACAAACUGAUCUCUGUCAUCGAUUUUCAUAUGUUUUCAGGCAAUCCAUAAAAAGCAAUCGGAAGUAAUUGUUCCAUGAAAACAUGACAAUCAUGGCUUUUCAUCCCAUGUAAUAUUCCACGCUCAAUGUCAACACUCUUUCCCAAAUUUGAGGCAUAUCCAUCUGACAUGUUCAAGCUUUCCACCCACUCACAAAUUUUUCUCUUCUGUUCCAUUGUGAAUGAAUAACUAGCCUUGGGCUUAAGUAACUUGUUGUUGGCAGACUCCUGUAAAUGCAACUCCGGUCGUCUACAAUGUUCUGGUAAGUCAAGUCUCGCCUUAACAUUAUCUUUUGUCUUGCCAGUCACAUCCAUUACAGUGUUGAACAAAUUAUCAAAAUAAUUCUUUUCAAUAUGCAUGACAUCAAGAUUAUGUCUAAGCAAAUUAUCCUUCCAAUAAGGUAACUCCCAGAAUAUACUCUGUUUAGUCCAAUUAUGUGCAACACCAUACCCAUCAAAUUUGUACGGUGGUUCCUCAGUUACCUUUGGAAAAUUUUGAACCCUUUCCCAAAUAUCAUCACCCGUUAAUAUUGGGGGUGGACCAUCUCGUUCAGUUUUAUUCUUUUUAAAUGCAUAUUUCUUUCUCCUAAACUCAUGAUCAGGUGGCAAGAACCGACGGUGACAAUCAAACCAUGAAUUUUUUCGCCCAUGUUUCAAUGUGAAUGAUUUAGUAUCUUCCAUACAGUAGGGACAUGCUAACUUUCCAGCUGUCAUCCAUCCAGAUAGCAUUCCAUAGGCAGGAAAAUCAUUAAUAGUCCACAUUAGCACGCAUGUUGAAAUUUUGUUUACGAGAAACGUCCCAUGUUUCUACCCCUCAGACCACAACAAUUUCAACUCAUCAAUCAAAGGUUGUAAGUACACAUCAAUCUUGCUUUUUGGAUUACUCGGACCAGGAAUGACACAAUUCAAAAAUAUAUAUGGAAUUGUCAUACAUAUCUCAGGUGGAAGAUUAUACGGUGUAAUAAACACAGGCCAACAAGAAUAUGGUGCAGCCCCAACUGAAAAAGGGGUGAAACCAUCCGCACACAAACCCAGCCUAACAUUCCUAGGUUCAGCGGCAAAAUCUGGAUAAGUUCUAUCAAAAUGUUUCCAAGCCUCUCCGUCAGAUGGAUGACACAUGACACCAGGUGGCCUUCUAUUUUCACGGUGCCAUCUCAUAUAAGGAGCAGAGCUAUUUGAUGCAUACAACCUCUUCAAUCUUGGUAUAAGAGGUAAAUAAUGCUUCGCCUUAAUAGCAAGUUUCUUUCCAGUAGAACCAGUCUUAUAGCGAGGGUGACUACAAAACUUACAAGACUUUAGAUCGACAUCCUCCUUAUAGUAUAACAUGCAACUUUUUUCACAACAAUCAAUUCUUAUCGAGGAGAGUCCUAACUUAGACACCAAUACAUUUGCUUUAUAAUAAGAAUCAGGAAUCUCUACAUUGGGAUCAACUAAUUCCUUCAUAAGUUCUAUCAUAGAGUCCAUUGCUCCUUGAGAAAUAUUAUUGUCAGAUUUGAUACUUAACAAUCUAACUGCAACAGACAAUUUAGAGUGUUGACUCCCGUUGAACAAAGGACUACUACAAUCACGCAAUUGUUCAUAAAAGAUGUUUGCUUCUUCAUUAGGAGCUUCUUCUACAUUUUCUCCUUGUUCAAAAUCAGAAUGCAUCCCAAAAGCAUCAUUAAUCAUAUCUGACAUUCUAGAACCUUGGAAAUAAUUAUGCUCGGUAGAUCUACUACUUUCACCGACAACAAAGUUAUUAAACAUAGUGUCACUUUCAACCUCACCAUGGCUAGUCCAAACUGUAUACCCUGGUUUGAAUCCAUUCAUCAUAAGAUGCAUAGCAACAGUCUCUGUUGUAUGAUAUCUCACAUUUUCACAAUUAACACACGGACACCUAAUCAAUCUUGAAGUUAAAAAAUCAUCAAGUGUCUUUGCAUGAUUUAUAAAUACAGUGACACCUUCUGCGAAUUUUGGAAUCGUACCCGCUCGACCAGGAUUGUUU
rnacentral:lncRNA from 1 species